rnacentral:rRNA from 1 species
CAGUCGCCGCGGGAAUACAGAGGGUGCGAGCGUUAAUCGGAUUUACUGGGCGUAAAGCGUGCGUAGGCGGCUUCUUAAGUCGGAUGUGAAAUCCCUGAGCUUAACUUAGGAAUUGCAUUUGAUACUGGGAAGCUAGAGUAUGGGAGAGGAUGGUAGAAUUCCAGGUGUAGCGGUGAAAUGCGUAGAGAUCUGGAGGAAUACCGAUGGCGAAGGCAGCCAUCUGGCCUAAUACUGACGCUGAGGUACGAAAGCAUGGGGAGCAAACAGGAUUAGAUACCCGCGUAGUCCCUGUCUCUUAUAC